rnacentral:pre_miRNA from 1 species
ACCAUACCCAUGUGUGUAAGAUCUCAAAAGAUCACCAUUAAAUUUGACACAGAUCUCUAGAAAAGUUAUCACAUGAGUGUGGGACUUGAUUUUUUUAGAGAUCUAUACCAAAUUUAAUGGUGAUCUUUUGGGGUCCUACAUACAUGGGUGUGAG